CCUACGGGGGGCAGCAGUAGGGAAUCUUCGGCAAUGGGCGAAAGCCUGACCGAGCAACGCCGCGUGAAUGAAGAAGGCCUUCGGGUUGUAAAAUUCUGUUAUAAGGGAAGAAAGGUGAUAGGAGGAAAUGACUAUCAAUUGACGGUACCUUAUGAGAAAGCCACGGCUAACUACGUGCCAGCAGCCGCGGUAAUACGUAGGUGGCAAGCGUUAUCCGGAAUUAUUGGGCGUAAAGGGCGCUCAGGUGGUUAAUUAAGUCUGAUGUGAAAGCCCACGGCUUAACCGUGGAGGGUCAUUGGAAACUGGUUGACUUGAGUGCAGAAGAGGGAAGUGGAAUUCCAUGUGUAGCGGUGAAAUGCGUAGAGAUAUGGAGGAACACCAGUGGCGAAGGCGGCUUCCUGGUCUGCAACUGACACUGAGGCGCGAAAGCGUGGGGAGCAAACAGGAUUAGAUACCCGUGUAGUC
rnacentral:rRNA from 1 species